rnacentral:sRNA from 1 species
GCUGGGUGUGGCGGUGCAUACCUGUAAUCCCAGUGACUUGGGAGGCUGAGGCAGGAGGCUCACAGGUUCAAGGUAAGCCAGGCAACUGGGUGAGACACUGUCUUAA